CCACUCGUUCAGCCUUUGUGGAGCGCUCAGAGACGGGGUAUCCGGCACUCCCACCUAAAUGCAGGAGGUGCAGCCUUCAACACACUGGAAGAACCUACAUCAGGAAAGCAACUAGACGCCAUUUGUGUCAAGGUAACGUCUGGAGAAACAAAAGGUCAGGAACAGCCAACGUCCCUACUGGCCACAAUCCAGCCCCAAUCUGCAAGACAGCCAGCCGCCCUGGGGGAAUUCCCACCUGGUGGGGCUCCACAUCACCAGCCUUCAGCUGCUCAGGGUACGGCCCCUCGUGAGAACCGAGCUACAGUCAUGUUUCCUAAGUGACCUACAUCAGCCUCCUGCUCAGGGGUUUGUAUAGAGACCACUGCCAGCCUUCCAGGUGGUCCCUGCAAAGAGAGUCCCAGCCCUCAAGGCUCCAAAUGGACAGGGCUCCAUGUUGACCCCUUUGUCGGCCUCCAAUCGGCCGGCUGUAACAUGUUUAAUCCAGUUCAGCACAUUUAUUUCCAACUUGCAUAUAAAACAUACUGAGAAAUUAAAACCAUCGUUAAAAGUGAAGACACAUUGAGACGGGUAUCUCGACCUGCCAAGUAUAAAGCUAAAGAUAAGUUCAUAAAAAGGGAUGAUUUGGCGGACGGUCAUCUGUCAGAUUCUGAUGAUGAUUCAGAACUCAGCGUGGAAGAAGAUCAGAGGGAGAGGCAGGUGCUCUUUGACUUAUCAAGCUGCUCCCUGAGGUCCCAAAGCUUUAAGUGUCAGACUUGUAAAAAGUCAUAUGUAGGGAGGUGGGGACUGGCGCAGCAUUUUAAACUUAAUCCAGGCCGUGGCCAGCUGGACGCUGAGAUGGUGCUGUCUGAGAAAGCCAAUGAGAGCACCGUCCGGGGGUGCACGGCGGAAAGGACGCUCGGCCUGAGCUCCCCGGGGCUGUCCAUGCCAGCGGCUCCGCAUGAGGGAGGGGCCGGCUCCUGCUUGGUGACAGUCAGCAUGCGGUGGCCUGCAGGUGAACUGUCACCCCUGCAACUCAGCCUGCAACCAGCCCUGGCCACCACCAGUUUCCCCACACUGAGCUGAAUAUUGGACAUGCCCAUCUUAGACAUUCCAGCCCAUUCUGAAAUUCCACAUCGAUUCACCUGACAAAGUCUGAAGUUCCAGGGCAAUUUAUCUGGAAAAGCUCACCUGGAAUCACGUGUCAUUUCAACCAACAACUAUGGAAGAGGACGUGGCAUCAAAACCAAGGGUAUCAAUUAUUUAUAAGGGUUGUGUGAUGGUUGGUCCAGGUAUCUCUCCUUCACGCCAUCACUCCUUUCAAGAGCUGCCAGUUUUCUAAUUUAGCACAGGAAUUUAGAUGCCCCUAAAUAAGUAGGCAUCCAAUAUCCGCCCACACCACUUUUUGUGAGAGUCCGUAUGGAGACACUACCACCACCGCUGCUCUCCUACUGCAUACCCCACCAUGCCAAAGAAUGGUGGCUCAUACCUGUAAUCCUGGUGCUUUGGGAGGCCAAAGAGGAGGAACACUUGAGAUCAGAGGUCUGAGACCAGCCUGGGCAACAUAGUGAGACCUCAUUUCUACAAAUAAGUUAAAAUAUAUAUAUAUAUAUAGCAUAGUGGCGCACACCUGUGUUCUCAGCUUUUCAGCAAGCUGAGGCCGGAAGAUGACUUGAGCCCAGGAGUUUGGGGCUGCAGUGAGCUAGGAUUAUGCCACUGCACUCUAGCCUGGGCAGCAGAGAGACGCCAUCUCUAAAAAGAGGAGGGAAAAUACUGCUCCUUCUCAAACCCAAGGUAAAAAGGUUUUUGGUCUCACACUGACCAAAAAACAUUGAUAUUUACUUAAGCAAUAUAAAAAGGGUCACUGUUUUAGAACAGAGGAUUAAAGACAAAGUAAAAUCAGCACUGAGAUAGGAGGACGGAGGACAUUAACUGAGUUCCGAUCCCAAUGAAAAGAAGAAAAAGCUCCAUCUACGUGAAAUAUCUACUUAUCCUAGAAAAAGCCUUUUGACAGCAACAUAAAAUUCAUACCUCUUAGUUUUUAAAUUCUUAUGGAUGCUGUAGCAAAUAACCACAAUUUGGGUGACUGAAAGCAA